GACAGAGGGUGCAAACGUUGCUCGGAAUUACUGGGCGUAAAGCGCAUGUAGGCGGACGUGCAAGUCAGGUGUGAAAUCCCCGGGCUCAACCCGGGAAUUGCACUUGAAACUGCUCGUCUUGAGUACCGGAGAGGAUAGUGGAAUUCCUGGUGUAGAGGUGAAAUUCGUAGAUAUCAGGAGGAACACCAAUUGCGAAGGCAGCUCGCUGGGACGUUACUGACGCUGAGACGCGAAAGCGUGGGGAGCAAACAGG
rnacentral:rRNA from 1 species